AAGUCGUAACAAGGUUUCCGUAGGUGAACCUGCGGAAGGAUCAUUAUUGAAUAAAACAUGGUUGGGUUGUUGCUGGCUUCCAGAAGCAUGUGCACGCCUAAUCCGUUUUUUUAACCACCUGUGCACCUUUCGUAGGCCUUGAACACAUUACUCGAGACAGUGUACUCGGUUUGAGAGAAUUGCUGUCGUCUGGGAAGGCUCAGCUUUUCUUGCGAUGGGUUCAGGUCUAUGUCACAUAUUAUACCCCACGAGAAUGUAUUAGAAUGUUAUAAACAGGCCAGUGUGCCUUUAAAACACAAUACAACUUUCAACAACGGAUCUCUUGGCUCUC
rnacentral:misc_RNA from 1 species